rnacentral:tRNA from 1 species
GGAUUGUGGCUCAGAGGUAGAGUGCUCACCUAGCAUGUGCAAGGCACUGGGUUCGAUCCUCAGUACCA